GAGAUAUUAGUAAAAUAUUAUAUAACUUUGUCAAGGUUAAGUUGCAGACAAAAACCUGCAUAUCUCA
rnacentral:tRNA from 1 species